UUUCCGUAGGUGAACCUGCGGAAGGAUCAUUACAGAGUUCAUGCCCUCACGGGUAGAUCUCCCACCCUUGAAUAUUUAUACCUUAAUUGCUUUGGCAGGCCGUGGAAACACCAUGGGCUCCGGCUUAUGCGUGCCUGCCAGAGGAAACAAACUCUGUUUUUAGUGAUGUCUGAGUACUAUAUAAUAGUUAAAACUUUCAACAACGGAUCUCUUGGUUCUG
rnacentral:misc_RNA from 1 species